rnacentral:lncRNA from 1 species
CCAGCAGAGGCCCAGGAGCUUCCUGAGGUGCAUCCUGGCGCAGGCUUUGAGCCGGCCCCGUGUACAAGGAGGGGCUGGCUCUGCUCAGCUCUCGGCUCUCAGUGUUCCCAGGGAAGGGAGCAGAGCGUCCGCUUGCUCCCUCGCGCCCCCGGCGGGCGGCUGCCCUCCCACCCUCCCCACAUAGCUGGCAUUCCUGGCCUGGCAGCCUGGGACCCCACCCUGGAGAAGAACCAGACCGCCUGGGAAAAAGCUGGUGAAGAGCCGGGGGCCCCAGGCAGGGCUGAGGCCGCUGCAGGUGGACGAGCCACAGCCAUGGGGUCCAUUGCACCCCUGGCCAACACAAGGAGCCUGCAGCUAAUGAGGUCAAGGGCAGACACUCCCAGCCACCAUAUCUGCUAAAUCUGUGAAAUGAGAGCCUCACCCACUCACUGUGACCUCCCAAACCACAGGAGGGGAGCCCCCAGGCCACACGCUGGGGAGGCAGGUUCUGAGAGAGAGCAGGUGCGGCCCAUGUGCAGUCUGCAGCCCUCAGCCCAGUGCCCCUCCCCAGAUGCAGGUCCACAGCAGCCCAGCCUGGCCACUUCGGGGACUGUGUCCCGCAGGUCCCCAGGCCCUGUGUCCCUGUGUACUCUGAACUACUGCAGACAUGGAGUGACUGCAGCCCGGAGCCACUGACUCCCUAUCCAGUGCUCUCUCCACAACACCAGCCUGCCUGGCAUCCAGGGAUCCUGGGCCUGUCACCCCCAGGAACACUCCUGAACACCCUGAGGCUCAGAAAGGUGUGCCCAACAUGCGACUCCAUCCGCAGGGCAGUGCUACCAAGGCGGGUGACAACCUUGCUGGAGCAGUGAUGGGGCCGAGCAAGCGCUUCAGCCCACAGGAGUGUGGCCCCUGCAGGCCAGCCCUCCCCAGGCUGAGGGGAGCCAUGGGGCACACAGGAGGAGCCCCAGGAAAUGGAGAUGGUAGAGUGAUGAAUCUGCCUUCCUAGUGGGGGUGUCAGCCGCACCUGGAAAUUCCCAACACUUCCCCGUCAGCGGUGAAGUCACCCUGGGAAGACCUGAGUCAGGGGAGCCUGGAAGUCAUCCAGCCCCGGGCCACCCACUCCCCCUUCCCACCUGUGCCACUAGGGGCCAAGCACACCUGGGGCCACCACAGGCUCUGCCACCCCUGGGCAAUGGGCUCUGACCUGGGAGUUCACUGGGCCCCAGACCCACAAGUGGCCAUCAGACUGACAGAUUUGCUGGGUACCGACUGAGUGAGGGCCUGGUACAGCCCUGAGCACUGAGGAGGAGGCAGGCAACCCUGCAACCCUACACCUGGCCAAGCAUACUCCCUUGGCACCGCUGCCACCAGAUGGUCCUACAGACUCAGCCAUCUCCUCUCCUCAGCCCUGGAGUGUCCCGGGCCCUGCAUCUGCAGCUGGUGGGCAGGACCAGCCUCCUCCAUGCUUCCCCAUCCUCCACCUCAUUGCCCAGAAGGGUCUUUCUAAAGCUCUGCUGAAGCCACUCCUCCCUGCCCUGGGCUCCCCAGACCCGAGAUCACUGCCUCCGGCCCCGCCCCCACCUCACCUUCCCCUGCUCCAGCCUACUCAAACCUGCUGCUCCCCACUCCUCAUGCUGCCACAUCCUCUUCACACCUCCAGGCCUUUGCCCACGUCUGUCCCUUUCCCAGGAACCCACCUUCCUUCCCUCCAGCAGGUCCUUCAGGGCCGAGGUCAGAGGCUGCCUUACUUGAGAGGUCUUCCCUGGGCCACCCUCAUCACAGACGGCUUAGAGCUCCUGCUGUGGGUCCCACAGGGCUUUGUGUAAACGACGCUGGAAGGCAGGGCGGUAGGGACUUUCCUUCCCAGUCACACCUGCACACCUGGCCAGCCCUGAUAACCCACCCACGGGGGCUGCCAUCACGCUGUGGGCAUGAAGCGAAAGUUCAGGGUGGUGGUGGAGCCAGCAGGAAGGGGAGGAGGGAGGAAGAGGACCUGGGGGAGCAUCCAGACCCACCACCCAGAUGGGGAAACUGAGGCCCAGAGAAGGGGAGGGAUACCCUCAAGGUUGCCGCAAGCCCACAGCUGAGCCAGGAACAGGACCUGGGCAUCCAGGACCACACACAUGCUGACCCAACAAAGCUGGCCAGGCUGGUCUCAGAGCUCCUGGGUCAGGGGCGACAGCAGGACAAGGCCCAGAACAGAAGGCCUCUGGGCUUCCCAUACCCACAGGACAGCUGCACCUCUGGUCCCAAAGCUAAACUUGGAGGCAGCCCCUGCAACCUUGAGACCCUCGCUCAGGGCCCUGGGGACUCUUGGUCAACACACAGUUCUAAGCAACUGGAGGCAUUGGUUUCUGCCUGAAGAGGACAGGCAGGAAACGGGACACGCAACAGAGCCCGCCCAAGGCUGGAAACCCGCCUUAGUAAAACACCGUGACA